rfam:Corvus brachyrhynchos isolate BGI_N302 unplaced genomic scaffold scaffold119, whole genome shotgun sequence.
GCUUUUCCCCCCACUCCCGCGGGCGUAGGUUACAGAGAAGCCCGUGGGCUCUGGGGGAAAGAGC